rnacentral:miRNA from 1 species
GAGAUGGGAGGACUGCUUGAGCCUGGGAGGCAGAGGUUGCAGUGAGUUGUGAUGAUACCACUGCACUCCAGCCUGAGUGACAGAGUAAGACCCUGUCU